AAAGCGCAGAUCUAGGUCUUUGAACGGGUUGACGCGCAGGAUUAGCCAUUCCUUCAAAACGCAAGCCAAACAUCCAAUUGUUUAGGGUUUUGACUCAGCAACCUUCAAUUUCUAAGGCCAUUUUGUCACCAAUUCACCAUUAAAAUUGGUGAGAGGUAUGGAAGCAGCCUUUAUUUCCAUCAGAAUCAACACUCAAAGACCAUUCUCACUUUUGUAUCCGCAUUUCUAGCCACGAUUUCGACAGAGAGGACAAGGGAUCUCACUGAUGUAUUCAUGAAGACUCGGCCGUACGGAGGAGCGAGGAGACGUGCGAAGGAGGCCGUGCGAGGAGCCACUUGUAGGAGCCCCAACUCUCUGGCCUAUUCCAAAAGCUUCUGGAAGUAGAAGAAGAAAAAGAAGAAGAAGAAGAAGAAAAAGAAGAGGACGAGGAGGAGGAGAAGAGAAAAAAUGGAGAUGUCGACCAUGAUUACAAUGUGCUAUUGUGGAAACCCAUCCAAAUUAAACACGUCUUGGUCUAAUGACAACCCAGGUAGGAGGUUUUCUAGAUGUAAGAAGUUUGGGAGUAGGCUUCAAAAACCAUGCCAUUUUUUCACCAGCUUUGAUCCACCAUUGACAACCCGUUCACGAAUUUUGUUGUUAGUUCUUUUGAAAAAAGUGAGGACAUUAUAGGAUGCAAGGAGGAGGGAGAGAAAAACAUGGGUUUUGGUGCUUGUAUUUGUAAUAUUGUUGCUAUUUUUUAAACCCUGAACCAGUUUAUGCGAUAGCUAAUGUUGUUGUUGUUAGCAUUGAAAACCAACUUAUGUAGCUGCUGGUAUACUAUUUUGUUAUUCUUUAAUGGUUAGUGGAAGCUAAAGGUCUUAAAUGUAA